ACUUGUAGUUUAUUUAGUAUAUACUAAAAUUGGAGCGAUACAGAGAAGAUUAGCAUGGUCCCUGCACAAAGAUGACAUUCAAAUUCGUGAAGCAUUCCUCAUUUUG